GACGAACGCUGGCGGCGUGCCUAAUACAUGCAAGUCGAGCGCUGAAGGUUGGUACUUGUACCAAUUGGGUGAGCAGCGAACGGGUGAGUAACGCGUGGGGAAUCUGCCUUUGAGCGGGGGAUAACAUCUGGAAACGAAUGCUAAUACCGCAUAAAAACUUUAAACACAAGGUUCAAGUGUGAAAGAUGCAUUUGCAUCACUUAAAGAUGAUCCCGCGUUGUAUUAGCUAGUUGGUGAGGUAAAGGCUCACCAAGGCGACGGUACAUAGCCGACCUGAGAGGGUGAUCCGCCAACAUGGGACUGGGACACGGCUCCAACUCCUACGGGAAGCAGCCGGAGGGAAUCUUCGGCCAAUGACGAAAGUCUGACCGGACAACGCCGGGGGGGUGAAUAAGGUUUUCGGAUCGUAAAACUCUUUUGGUAGAGAAGAACGUUAGUUAGAAUGGAAUACUCAUCAAGUGACGGUAACUACCCAGAAAGGGACGGCUAACUACGUG
rnacentral:rRNA from 1 species